AUGUCUCUGUCCCAAAUCAAUUGUGGUAUGUGUUUUGACAUGGUGAGGUUGUCAGCUGAGAUGGGUGGUGCAUUGGUGCAAAUAUCUUUAGUGUCAAUACACCAAAUAACUUCAU